CUCACCCAGGCUGUAGACCUGGGUCAGGAGGAGACCCUGACCAGCUUCAGAGAAGACCCCAGACCUGUCCCGAGCCUGCAAGCUGUGCAGUUUCAGCUGUGCUGUUCCCUGAGUCACAGCCUGAGCUGAUGUGGGUUCUGCAGGGAGGCAGCUGCUGUGAAUCCAUCUCAGCUCUUGUCUGGAUGUGCAGAAGAAGCUUCUCUGAGCACAGUGGAGAGCAGCAUUGACCCAGACCUGCACCAGGAGGAUGUGGACCCAGCAGCACCAGCUCCCAGGACCUUCUGCCUUUCACUACCAGAUUGUCACUGCAGGGACAGCCAGCCUGUCGGACUGAGCAGCUUCCGGGUUCUCUGUCUCCAUUGCUGGACCUAGUGCAUGUCACAGAGACUAAACUAUAAUAGUAAUAAUAUUAUAAAAUAGCACUUUUUCUGUUAUGAAAUAUCCCUAUCAUAUAUAGUCAUAUGAAAAUAUCAGAUACAUUCUUUGUUUUAUGCUAGAGAAGGCUGCCUUGUAUAGGUGUGGUUAUAAUAAAUAUCUAUUACAAAAUUGAUAUACUUAACAGAAUUUAACUCUUAGCCAAAUACCUUAGGGAGGGUGGAGUCUUUCUAGUCUGUCUCACACUGACUUAGAUACUGGUAACUUAUUUGCACAGGAGAAAUAACUUCACAUUUUUCCACUAAGGAGAUCUGGUUAUGAUGUUUCCUAUGCUAAGGAUGUGUACAUAACCAUGGUCUUUCCUGAUCUUUAGUUAAAGUAGUUCCAUGUUGAGGGCAAAUCCCACCAGGGCACACCAAGAGUACAAGGUGAUAAGAAAGGGCCCAAGUGACGGCACAGAGUGAAGACCAUGAAAUGCUGUGUCUGCAGCAUCCUGAUUCAUCUGGUGGAAGCUGAUGGAAAGGGAGAGUGGUGGCACCAGAUGAACUCUCAUGACUUCUCUGGAGCAUCUUCAACCUGCAGCAAGGAAACACAUCUUUUGAAGGAUCUGAGGAAAGUCUGGGUCUGGAUGUGCAGAAGAAGCUUCUCUGACACAGUGGAGAGCAGCACUGACCCAGAGCUGCACCAGGAGGAUGUGGACCCAGCAGCACCAGCUCCCAGGACCUUCUGCCUUUCACUGCCAGAUUGUCACUGCAGGGACAGCCAGCCUGUCAGACUGAGCAGCUUCCGGGUUCUCUAUUCUCACUGUGAAUGUGGGCAUUGCUAGGCUACCUAGUGUAUGACUAACCUAUAAUAGUAAUAAUAUUAUAAAAGAUUACAUUUUCUCUUAUGACUAUAUUAUGUAUAGACAUUUAAAAAUAAAAGACACAUUUUUUUUCUUUUGUUCUAGA